UGAAGGUGAUUGGUGGGGUUGAUAGAGAUGAGGGAGGGAUUGAAGGUGAUUGGUGGGGUUGAUAGAGAUGAGGGAGGGAUUGAAGGUGAUUGGUGGGGUUGAUAGAGAUGAGGGAGGGAUUGAAGGUGAUGGUUGGAUUGAAGGUGAUUGGUGGGGUUGAUAGAGAUGAGGGAGGGAUUGAAGGUGAUUGGUGGGGUUGAUAGAGAUGAG